rnacentral:piRNA from 1 species
UAGGGCUUUUUACUUUGCAUCUCCACC